ACCUGCAACUGAUUAUAUUUCCUGAUUCAGUGUUGACCAAUAAUUUUUCAUAAUCUAACUUCAGUUACCUUUCUUUUUGUCUGUCAUAUUUAUGAUUGCUUUAUUUGGACUUCGAUCUUCAGAGUUAAUGUUGCUUGGAUUCAUAUCACUUCUUCUAACAGCAACCUCAAGCACAAUAACCAGUAUUUGCAUUCCAUCAAAGUUCUAUGAUAGUACCUUUGCUCCGUGCAACAGGUCUGAGAUUUAUGAAGAACUUGAAGAUGAUUCUUUGAAGGAGCGUAAGCUUUUGAUGGCUUCUGGUUUUCACUUAUUUAGGAGAAUGUUGAAUGGCAUGAAUCAAAAUACCUGCAAAGAGGCAUGUAACAAAUCCAUAUCUUGACUCUAAAUUCUUCUAUUUUACAUUCUUUUCUUUUUUUGGCUAUUGAAUAUAUUUCUAUAUGAUCAUAUUCUCUAAAUAUUUAAUUAUAUAUACAAGUACUUUAACACUUCAGUGAUCUACCAUCUUGAAACUAUUCUGUUCUGCAGGGUCAUGAGCCAUUUGUUUCAUAUGAAGGUCAUGAGCAGUUGCAUCGCUUCAUCUUUGUCAUGACAUUCACACAUAUAUCUUACAGUUGCUUAAUGAUGUUAGUUGUAAUUGUGAAGGUUGGGCCUUUGAUUGUAAAAGAGUAGCUCCAACUAAAGUUUUACAAAUACUGAUCUUGCUGUCUGGUUGUUGUAGUAAUUGCAUAGUUCUUUGGAUAUCAACAUCUUUCUUUCUUGCAAGAAUAUAUUGCAUUCCACAACGCAUACCUUCUUAUUCCAAGUAGCUGAUCAAAUGCAAUUAGUGAGAAGGAUGGUACAUACUAGUUCUGUUAUGUAAAGUACUUUUAGGCAAUGGAUUGGAGACAACCUGACUAUUAGGAAAAUAUGGGCAAUGAUAAUCCUAGCUAGGGUUGAGUUUGUUAUUUUAUUAAUAGUCAGUUGAUAAUAUUUAAAACCAUGGUUAAUGGUUCCAACCUGUGCAAACACUGAAAGGUAAAAGGAAUGCUUGUAAUAUUUAUAUAGAUGGUAAACAAUCUUAUGCAAUCUAUUGUGGAGAUGAUUUAUUUCUGUCAAAAACAUUAGAGUCUGAACUAAGUAAACUUCAGAAAUGUUUUUAUUUCUGAUAAAAGCAUGAAGUUUACAGUUUUAUGUUGCUAUUAUUUGCUUACAUUUUGAUAUUGUAACUAGUUGGUAGACUCAUAGUUGGAGAGUGUGAGAGGAUGAAGCUCAUAUGGACCAACAUGAUUUAUUAAAUGAAAGAGCAAGAGAGUUGAUAAUGCAAAGACAAAC